rnacentral:rRNA from 1 species
AUUGAACGCUGGCGGCAGGCUUAACACAUGCAAGUCGAACGAGUGGCGGACGGGUGAGUAAUGUUUGGGAAUCUGGCUGAUGGAGGGGGAUAACUACGGGAAACGGUAGCUAAUACCGCAUACCAUAGGAUGAGCCCAAAUGGGAUUAGGUAGUUGGUGAGGUAAAGGCUCACCAAGCCGACGAUCCCUAGCUGGUCUGAGAGGAUGACCAGCCACACUGGGACUUAGACACGGCCCAGACUCCUACGGGAGGCAGCAGUGGGGAAUAUUGCGCAAUGGGGGCAACCCUGAUGCAGCCAUGCCGCGUGUAUGAAGAAGGCCUUCGGGUUGUAAAGUUCUUUCGGUAGGGAGGCGUUACCUACAGAAGAAGCACCGGCUAACUCCGUGCCAGCAGCCGCGGUAAUUC